rnacentral:rRNA from 1 species
UUAAGUUAAUAAGGGCGCACGGUGGAUGCCUUGGCACUAGAAGCCGAUGAAGGACGUGACUAACGACGAAAUGCUUUGGGGAGCUGUAAGUGAGCAAUGAUCCAGAGAUGUCCGAAUGGGGGAACCCGGCAGGUAAUGCCUGUCACUCAUUACUGUUAAGGUAAUGUAGAGGAAGACGCAGUGAACUGAAACAUCUAAGUAGCUGCAGGAAGAGAAAGCAAAAGCGAUUGCCUUAGUAGCGGCGAGCGAAACGGCAAGAGGGCAAACCGAAGAGUUUACUCUUCGGGGUUGUAGGACUGCAACGUGGACUUAAAGAUUAUAGAAGAACUACCUGGGAAGGUAGGCCAAAGAGAGUAAUAGCCUCGUAUUCGAAAUAGUCUUUAUACCUAGCAGUAUCCUGAGUACGGCGAGACACGAGAAAUCUCGUCGGAAUCUGGGAGGACCAUCUCCCAACCCUAAAUACUCUCUAGUGACCGAUAGUGAACCAGUACCGUGAGGGAAAGGUGAAAAGCACCCCGGGAGGGGAGUGAAAUAGAACCUGAAACCGUGUGCCUACAACAAGUUCGAGCCCGUUAAUGGGUGAGAGCGUGCCUUUUGUAGAAUGAACCGGCGAGUUACGAUAUGAUGCGAGGUUAAGUUGAAGAGACGGAGCCGUAGGGAAACCGAGUCUUAAUAGGGCGCAUUAGUAUCAUGUCGUAGACCCGAAACCAUGUGACCUACCCAUGAGCAGGUUGAAGGUGAGGUAAAACUCACUGGAGGACCGAACCAGGGCACGUUGAAAAGUGCUUGGAUGACUUGUGGGUAGCGGAGAAAUUCCAAACGAACUUGGAGAUAGCUGGUUCUCUCCGAAAUAGCUUUAGGGCUAGCGUCGAUGUUAAGUCUCUUGGAGGUAGAGCACUGUUUGGGUGAGGGGUCCAUCCCGGAUUACCAAUCUCAGAUAAACUCCGAAUGCCAAUGAGAUAUAAUCGGCAGUCAGACUGCGAGUGCUAAGAUCCGUAGUCGAAAGGGAAACAGCCCAGACCACCAGCUAAGGUCCCAAAAUAUAUGUUAAGUGGAAAAGGAUGUGGGGUUGCACAGACAACUAGGAUGUUAGCUUAGAAGCAGCUAUUCAUUCAAAGAGUGCGUAAUAGCUCACUAGUCGAGUGACCCUGCGCCGAAAAUGUACCGGGGCUAAAACAUAUUACCGAAGCUGUGGAUACCUUUAUAGGUAUGGUAGGAGAGCGUUCUAUGUGCGAAGAAGGUGUACCGUGAGGAGUGCUGGAGCGCAUAGAAGUGAGAAUGCCGGUAUGAGUAGCGAAAGACAGGUGAGAAUCCUGUCCACCGUAAGACUAAGGUUUCCAGGGGAAGGCUCGUCCGCCCUGGGUUAGUCGGGACCUAAGGAGAGACCGAAAGGUGUAUCCGAUGGACAACAGGUUGAUAUUCCUGUACUAGAGUAUAUAGUGAUGGAGGGACGCAGUAGGCUAACUAAACCAGACGAUUGGAAGUGUCUGGCCAAGCAGUGAGGUGUGAUAUGAGUCAAAUGCUUAUAUCUUUAACAUUGAGCUGUGAUGGGGAGCGAAGUUUAGUAGCGAAGUUAGUGAUGUCACACUGCCGAGAAAAGCUUCUAGCGUUAAUUAUACUCUACCCGUACCGCAAACCGACACAGGUAGUCGAGGCGAGUAGCCUCAGGUGAGCGAGAGAACUCUCGUUAAGGAACUCGGCAAAAUGACCCCGUAACUUCGGGAGAAGGGGUGCUGGCUUUCAGUCAGCCGCAGUGAAUAGGCCCAAGCAACUGUUUAUCAAAAACACAGCUCUCUGCUAAAUCGUAAGAUGAUGUAUAGGGGGUGACGCCUGCCCGGUGCUGGAAGGUUAAGAGGAGUGCUUAGCGUAAGCGAAGGCAUGAAUUGAAGCCCCAGUAAACGGCGGCCGUAACUAUAACGGUCCUAAGGUAGCGAAAUUCCUUGUCGGGUAAGUUCCGACCCGCACGAAAGGCGUAAUGAUUUGGGCACUGUCUCAACGAGAGACUCGGUGAAAUUUUAGUACCUGUGAAGAUGCAGGUUACCCGCGACAGGACGGAAAGACCCCAUGGAGCUUUACUGCAGUUUGAUAUUGAGUAUCUGUACCACAUGUACAGGAUAGGUAGGAGCCUAUGACCUCGGGACGCCAGUUUCGAGUGAGGCGUUGUUGGGAUACUACCCUUGUGUUAUGGCUACUCUAACCCAGAUAGGUUAUCCCUAUCGGAGACAGUGUCUGACGGGCAGUUUGACUGGGGCGGUCGCCUCCUAAAAGGUAACGGAGGCGCCCAAAGGUUCCCUCAGAAUGGUUGGAAAUCAUUCGCAGAGUGUAAAGGUAUAAGGGAGCUUGACUGCGAGAGCUACAACUCGAGCAGGGACGAAAGUCGGGCUUAGUGAUCCGGUGGUUCCGUAUGGAAGGGCCAUCGCUCAACGGAUAAAAGCUACCCUGGGGAUAACAGGCUUAUCUCCCCCAAGAGUUCACAUCGACGGGGAGGUUUGGCACCUCGAUGUCGGCUCGUCGCAUCCUGGGGCUGUAGUCGGUCCCAAGGGUUGGGCUGUUCGCCCAUUAAAGCGGCACGCGAGCUGGGUUCAGAACGUCGUGAGACAGUUCGGUCCCUAUCCGUCGCGGGCGUAGGAAAUUUGAGAGGAUCUGCUCCUAGUACGAGAGGACCAGAGUGGACUUACCGCUGGUGUACCAGUUGUUCUGCCAAGAGCAUCGCUGGGUAGCUAUGUAGGGAAGGGAUAAACGCUGAAAGCAUCUAAGUGUGAAACCCACCUCAAGAUGAGAUUUCCCAUGAUUUUAUAUCAGUAAGAGCCCUGAGAGAUGAUCAGGUUGAUAGGUUAGAAGUGGAAGUGUGGUGACACAUGUAGCGGACUAAUACUAAUAGCUCGAGGACUUAUCCAA